GCGUUGGUGAUAUAGUGGUGAGCAUAGCUGUAUUACAAGCAGUUGGCACGGGUUUGGUUCCUGGCCAACACA
rnacentral:tRNA from 1 species